GCCUGGGUUGGAUUUAUGGCAGGCCCAUCCUCCUGGUUCUCUGAUAGUAUCCCAUGCCAGAGCAAACUGUGGCCCCAGCCAUUGCCUGGCUUCUGCCUGUAGGCUAUUGGCACUGAAGGGGAUUUCACAGAG